rnacentral:lncRNA from 1 species
CUGACUUUCUAGUGUCUAGGUCAAGGUCAUAGAAGCACGUGUUCGACCAUUAUGGCUGCCAAAAGGGAAGCCGGUUCCUUCAACACAAAAUGAAGGCUCCUGGCAGUGAGGGACACCACAGGGUGGCAGAACAAACUUGCCAGAUUGAAAGCGGAACCUUGUGUUUGCUGCUAUGUCAUUCACCAGGGGGGCUGUGAACUUGUGUGUUCUGUCUCACCAGCAAUGGGGGAGAAACAAAGCUCCCCUGUGUUGUUUAAUAUGCACCCUGACUGCCUCUCUCCUGGGUGUGGCACCUGCCACUUGUCACCAGAAAGGGCCACCAGGAGAGGAAGAAUUAGGACUUCAGAGCUGAUGCAUGCCAUUCAUGCUGACCUGCUUUGAACCGACCCUCCCCCCCCCCACCCCGAGACUUCUGGGCAGGAGGUGGGGAGCUUGACACAAAAUGAAGGCUCCUGGAAAGCUUUUUAGGAAGUCUAUAAUUCAGUGGCUUUUAGUAUAUUUACAGAGUUGAGGAACUGUCAGCAAAACCAGUCCAAGAAUGUUUUUGUCAUCCCCAGAGAAAUCCUCACCUUCUAGCAAUGCCCUACACCUUCUCGAUGUGGUCUCCUCCACCCCCAACCCCCAGCAGUGCUCAUCUAUUUUUGUCUGUAUAUUUGCCUGCUUUAUGUUUUGCACAGAUGGGAUCACAUCCCGGGCUCUCUUCUCUGUCUUUCAUUUAGCAUUGUGUUUUUGUUAUUUUUCCCUCAUUCCUCACAUGGUGCUGGAAAUGGAACCCAUGUGCUAGCCCAGUGCUCUACACCCUAGCUACACACCCAGGCUAAGCAAGGACCAGAGAGUGCAAAAAGUAGGUGGCUUAGGGGUUGUGUUAUAAGAGCAGACUCCGCCUACUGUGAAUUGAAGGUCACUUCUCCCCUUCAGUGUCCCCUCUGAGCGAAGUCUCCUAAGAUGGUCUUGCAGAGUCUGGACAGUGAGUGAAACAGCCUGCUCUUCCAGGACUUGGCCAGCAUCCCAGCUUUCUUGGAUCCCCAAAGACAUCGACAACCGACAACCCCAGACAACAGAAAGCGGUUUGAAGAGCAUGGUGUUCCCACUCUCCCCUACCAGUCACCCCUACCUAUUUCCUUACCUUCAUAAUAAACAAAAAGGAGGAAUGUCAGAAACCAGGUGAUCCCCGAGCUCAACAGCUCAGUUUAGAGACAGUGACUCUUGAGCCCAGGAUUGUGAGGGUAAUGGUGACUAUAUUUGUAAGAAAUAAAAUCAGGUGUUCAGUUCCUAACCUAUCAAAGCAAAACUUGUUCAUGACUUGGUGUUCUCCAUGUAGCCUCCCAAGGUGUGUGUGUGGGGGUGGGGAGCAUCCAUAUGAUAGUCAUGGUACUACAGGGCUAGAGAUGUUUCAGUGACUAAGUUUUCUAUGGCAGUGGAAAUCCUCAAAGCUCUAGCCUUUAGUGACCCACAGCCUUCCUAGCCAGGCGCUCAUGAGUCUCUUGAGGCUGUAGGGGAAGUUUAACUGCAGAAAAAGCAGAGGCCUCAGGGUUCAAUCCUACAGGCUUUGAAAAAUAAUUCCAGGAAGACUAUUUGCUAUGACAAGUCCUUUCUAGACCUUCGCCUGAAAAUCUGUAGCACAAAGGUGUGAAAUUUUGUCUCUAUUUAGGGUGCCUCUGUUCCCAAAUGCUCAGCUGUUCUCCCUGAGCUGGGAGAGGGGCCGUCUUCACACAGCCCUAACUAAUGUGUUCCUUCCUUCUCAUCACCUCCCUGUCACCUGUGUGUGUGUGUGUGUGUGUGUGUGUGUGUGUGUGUGUGUGUGUGUGUGUGUGUGUAUGUGUAUGUGUAUGUGUGUGUGAGAUGCAGUAACUUCAGACUGGGAGAUGGCUCCCUUAAUAAGGGGCUUAUCUUGCAAGCAUGAAGACCUGAGCUCUUCCAUCACCCCUAGAACCCAUGUAAAAAUCCAGGCAGUAAUCCUAGCACUAGGAAAGCAGAGGCAGAAAGAUCCCUGGGAUCCACUAGCCAGCCAGUCUAGUCUACUUGCUCCAGGACCAAUGAGAGGUG